AAGAUACUAGUAAAACCGACUAUUACAUCGCCUUGUCGAGGCGUAGUUGCGGGUUUAAAUCCCGCGUGUCUUA
rnacentral:tRNA from 1 species